UACGUAGGGUGCAAGCGUUGUCCGGAAUUAUUGGGCGUAAAGAGCUCGUAGGCGGUCUGUCGCGUCGGCUGUGAAAACUCGGGGCUCAACUCCGAGCUUGCAGUCGAUACGGGCAGGCUGGAGGCAGGGCAGGGGAGAACGGAAUUCCCGGUGUAGCGGUGAAAUGCGCAGAUAUCGGGAGGAACACCGGUGGCGAAGGCGGUUCUCUGGGCCUGUACUGACGCUGAGGAGCGAAAGCGUGGGGAGCGAACAGG
rnacentral:rRNA from 1 species